GACGAACGCUGGCGGCGUGCCUAAUACAUGCAAGUGGGACGCAAGGGAACACACUGUGCUUGCACACCGUGUUUUCUUGAGUCGCGAACGGGUGAGUAACGCGUAGGUAACCUGCCUAUUAGCGGGGGAUAACUAUUGGAAACGAUAGCUAAUACCGCAUAAUAUUAAUUAUUGCAUGAUAAUUGAUUGAAAGAUGCAAGCGCAUCACUAGUAGAUGGACCUGCGUUGUAUUAGCUAGUUGGUAAGGUAAGAGCUUACCAAGGCGACGAUACAUAGCCGACCUGAGAGGGUGAUCGGCCACACUGGGACUGAGACACGGCCCAGACUCCUACGGGAGGCAGCAGUAGGGAAUCUUCGGCAAUGGACGAAAGUCUGACCGAGCAACGCCGCGUGAGUGAAGAAGGUUUUCGGAUCAUAAAGCUCUGUUGUAAGUCAAGAACGUGUGUGAGAGUGGAAAGUUCACACAGGA
rnacentral:rRNA from 1 species